UACGUAGGGUGCAAGCGUUGUCCGGAAUUAUUGGGCGUAAAGAGCUCGUAGGCGGUUUGUUGCGUCGGCUGUGAAAUCCCGAGGCUCAACCUCGGGUCUGCAGUCGAUACGAGCAAACUAGAGUGUUGCAGGGGAGACUGGAAUUCCUGGUGUAGCGGUGAAAUGCGUAGAUAUCUGGAGGAACACCGGUGGCGAAGGCGGCAUCCUGGACCGGUAUUGACGCUGAGGCGGCGAAAAGCUAGGGGAGCCAAACGGG
rnacentral:rRNA from 1 species